GUUCAUUGUCUCAGGUUUUAUGCUUUCAUUAAGAAUAUUCUCUUCACUUGCAGAAUGUAAUGGGAAAGAUGUUUUCUGAGAUCCUCAAAAAAAAUUGUCUGAGCCCUCCAUAGAGGGUUGAUAUUCAGAGUUUUCUGGACCAUUGAUAUUAUCCUUUCAAUCUCCUUAUUUACCAUGGAUCUAAUAAAGGGUUCAGAAUCUAAUUCCAGUUUGAAUUCCUCAGAUCCCAAUUCCCCCUCAGAGCUGGAGGUAAAAUCUGUCUCCCUCUUUCUUUUGAGAUUUGCUUGGUCUGAUAAGACUUGAACCCCUUUGGCAAUUGCUUGAGUAAUCCAGUUUUUCACCUCUUCAAGUGCUGGUCACUUUCUCUAUAUUUUUCAGCAACCAUGCAAAGGCAUUGUAAACUUUUUUUUUCCCCAUAAGGAGCAAUAGAGUUGCAUCACACACAUUUGUUGGUUUUCUCUUUUUUUUUGGCUGAGGAUUCUCUUAGUUUUUAUAAUUUUUUUUGUUUUGUUUUUUAGUGAUGAAAUAGAAGCUAUAUAGUUGUUACUAUGUUGGCUAAGCACUCCAGACAGUAUCUUGUUCCCCCAAAUUAAAAAAUUUGUUUGGUGGUUUUAACUAUCUCUCUAUCUCUUCUAGAAACCAGCUUAUGAGGGUCAGGAGAAGACAUCUAUAUUUUAGAAAUAAGUACAUGGAUACAGAUACGAAUUAAUGAAGUAUCCCAUAGAUGGCUGGGCAGAACUAAGAAGAGGCAUGGCUUCAGAGAAAGACUUCAGGUUCCUGAAAGACAGAUAUAAUCUUUAUGUUCCUCAC